AGCCCCGUAGUGUAGCGGACCAUCAUUCUAGGCUUUGGCCCUAGUGACCUCAGUUCGAAUCUGAGCGGGGCUA
rnacentral:tRNA from 1 species